rnacentral:rRNA from 1 species
AUGCUUUUCCUAAAGAUUAAGCCAUGCAUGCCUAAGACUAUGAGGAAGCAAUUCUCUCUGAAUCUGCGAACGGCUCCGCAAACCAGUUGUAAACCAUAGCAGCGUUCCGCCCGGCUUCAGCAUGGAGCCGGGCAUUAUAUGGAUAACCGUGGUAAUUCUGAGGCUAAUACAUGACACACAACCUGCCGGGCUGGGGGCAACUCCGGCUAGGUGGGGGACGUGCUAUGGUAACAACGGGUACAGAGGAUUAGGGUUCG